rnacentral:rRNA from 1 species
AGUGAACGCUGGCGGUAGACCUAACACAUGCAAGUCGAACGGCAGCACAGUAAGAGUUUGCUCUUACGGGUGGCGAGUGGCGGACGGGUGAGGAAUACAUCGGAAUCUACUUUUUCGUGGGGGAUAACGUAGGGAAACUUACGCUAAUACCGCAUACGACCUACGGGUGAAAGCAGGGGAUCUUCGGACCUUUCGCGAUUGAAUGAGCCGAUGUCGGAUUAGCUAGUUGGCGGGGUAAAGGCCCACCAAGGCGACGAUCCGUAGCUGGUCUGAGAGGAUGAUCAGCCACACUGGAACUGAGACACGGUCCAGACUCCUACGGGAGGCAGCAGUGGGGAAUAUUGGACAAUGGGCGCAAGCCUGAUCCAGCCAUACCGCGUGAGUGAAGAAGGCCUUCGGGUUGUAAAGCCCUUUUGUUGGGAAAGAAAAGCAGCAGGUUAAUACCCCGCUGUUCUGACGGUACCCAAAGAAUAAGCACCGGCUAACUUCGUG